GUUGCCAUAAUGUUUAUUAAAAACAAGCGUUGGCGUAAUUUGAGAUCGAUCUAUUUUGAUAACACAUAAACGCAGCAAUGGUGUAAGACGGUGUGUAAAAUCAAAAUAAAUUAUUGAAUGUGAACAAAGGUUUACUGGAUUAGCUAAACUGUACAUUGAACGGAUAAAUUCAGCAACAGUACUAACUUUAAGAAUGCAGCAUUUUAUUUAAACGUAGCUUCGCCGAAAAAUUGCGUUUCAAUACAACCGUCAACCUCGAGGUUGACGAUUUUGUAAAAGUCACGAAACCAUCGGUCAACAGUAACCAUUUUUAGUCGCAACUUUUUUGACUUA
rnacentral:ncRNA from 1 species